rnacentral:lncRNA from 1 species
CGAGAACUUCCAAAUUAGGACACUUUUGAAUAAGUGUACAAUGAUCCUCAGUUGCGAGCAAUGCAUAGAUCAGAUCCAGCUUCCGGAUUUGGGCAGCGAAUGGAAACAGUAUUGGCAUUUCAUUAGGUCCCAUGUAAGAAAGGCCAAGACAACAUAGUUUUGGAGGGAAAGUCAGAUUCAUAUACUUCUCCGGUCUUCCAAUUUCUUCAUUUCUAUUGCUUAUCAAAUGCACUGCCAAAGGUAGUUAAAAAUCGGUGUCUUUUCUUCUUAUUUUAGCUUUCGUCUCUCGCAGGUGCAAAAGGUUACAGUUUGAGUCUGCGUGGAGGCAGUAUCAGGCGGAUCCAAAUCUGAGCACGGUUGCGGAAUAUAUAAUGUAGACCAGCUCUGUCUGAACAGAGGCAGCUUCUCGUCGGCUCAGAGUCUUAGGGCUUGUAAUAGAGUUUCAUUCACUCUUUUUAAUUAGAGAAAUAACAAAACAUAUCUUCUGAAUAGACUAGUUUUCUCUCUUCUUAUUUCAAUCUCUCAAAAGUCUUUAUGGAAUCUCUCAAAACUACAGACAAUACACCAAUAAAGAAAAAUAGAAUCCAUUCGACAGUUCGUGGAAACCUCAAAACCAAAUCUUUAUGUACAAACCUGCUUUUCAUCAUCAUCAUCAUCAUCAUCAUGCCUCCCUCAGGACUUUAACAGUUGGUGGACAAUCUGUUCUCUCACCAGCCAGAGAGUAGUAAGCCAGUAUAUGAGCAGGAUGCUCCAUCUCUCUCACCUCUCCAAGCUGAUUCACUUCUGGGACUUUUCUUGCCGGAAUCAGCUCGAUGUUCCAGUACGGUCUAGACAUUAGCCUCAGGUCUUGUCCCGUCGUUGAUGCUCUGUAGCCUUGUACCCACAGGUAUCUCAGCGAAGGGAUUUUCAGUACCGCUGCAGCUAUUGCUCGCUCGCUGAAGCAACAACCUCUCAUCUCCAGCUUCUGUAGUUUCGGACAUCCUCUUGAGAACUCCAUUAGGCCUUCGUCUGAUUCACCAACGUAACCGAGAAGCAUCCACCUCACGUUUGGACUGUACUGUCCGAUGUAGCUUAACCCCACGUCUGUUAAGCCGCCUUGUCUGAGAUAGAAUGCAAACCGUCUGAGUUUCUUGCAUCCGAUCAAGAGGGAUCUGACUCCGUUGUCCAGUGGCAGAUCUGUUAUUCUCUCUUCUUGGUCGAGUAAGACGAGGCGGAAGUCACAGAGGUUUUUCAGAUAUGUGCCUAUGCUUUCGAGAGACUCGUUGGUUAUAUCUGAGACAUACACCGCCAUGUAUUCUAGCUCCUGGCAGCCCUGAGCCAAAGCGACUAAUCCUCUUUGUGAUACUAGGCCUUCUUCAUCCUCCAUUCCUUGUUCAUCUUCACCCCGUUCAAUCCUCAGCCGCUUCAACUUCUUACAGCACUGUCCAAGAACCUCUAGACCCCUAUCUCCAAUUACAUUCCUUGUCUGAAAUACAGCAAAAAAUGUCACAUAUCCCUUAUCUACCACAAUUUAUACACUUGCAAAAUGAAUGCGAAAUUCAUGAUAGUUGAAUAGUGUAAAGAACAGAUAUUGCGUUCAAAUUUACCUCGAGAACUUCCAAAUUAGGACACUUUUGAAUAAGUGUACAAUGAUCCUCAGUUGCGAGCAAUGCAUAGAUCAGAUCCAGCUUCCGGAUUUGGGCAGCGAAUGGAAACAGUAUUGGCAUUUCAUUAGGUCCCAUGUAAGAAAGGCCAAGACAACAUAGUUUUGGAGGGAAAGUCAGAUUCAUAUACUUCUCCGGUCUUCCAAUUUCUUCAUUGAAGGAGCCGCCACAAAAUUCUUCAAGAUUAGUUGCAG